GAACGCCGUGUGCAGUGAAAGCUGCUUGCACGGUGUGGGCCGGGGCGAAAGACCCGCAAGGGUCUGACCUAUCGGCAU
rfam:Clostridium sp. C105KSO13 isolate C105KSO131 genome assembly, contig: {contig162}